rnacentral:lncRNA from 1 species
AAGAAUCCUCCUACUCUCUGAAUCAAUGGUGCCUUUUCCAUUAGUGUGUAGAUACCCACAAAAUAUGCAGAGAAGAUGUCUUCUGCUAUGUUGAUUUCCCUCAUUCUCUCUACUCAGGAAAGGGAGAAUAUCCCCAGCCCCAUUUCAAGCUGUCAUCAUGAGCAGUAGUGGAGGAGUAGAUUUGCCAGACGGCUGUCAGCGCUGACACUGGGCAGUGUCAGCAGUGGGCCCGAGCUACCGUUGGUGGAGUGACUUUUCUCUUGCUGAACUCCUGGGUUCCCUCCUACUGUUCUGAACCAAUGACACAAGCUCUAGGAAACAGAUCAGGGAACUGAGGCCCAAAGAAGCAACGAAACUUGCCGAGGGUCACACAAAUCAACAAGAGGAGCUGGGAUUUGCACACGUUUUCUUAGGGCCAUAAAGGUGCCUACCUGGAAGUCAAGCUAGCAUGCUGAGUGCGACAGCAAAGACUGGUGGAAAGAAUGUGAGUUGGCGAUGCUGGUUUGCACACCGAAUUAGUCCCCUUGGAAACACUCCAUCGUACAUCCCAUGUCAGAUGGAAUUUCGCUCUGUCACUGAGGCUGGAGUACAAUGGCGCUAUCUUGGCUCACUGCAACUUCCGCCUCCCGGGUUCAAGCAAUUCUCCUGCCUCAGCCGCCCGAGUAGCUGGGAUUACAGGUAUUCUUUCACCGACUAUACAAGGGGGUGGUAUCUGAUUGGGGAAAACUUUCCUUUGUUCUCCUGUUUCUGGGAGGGACUUCUGUCAUGGACGCUUGCAGCUUCUCUCCCCACAGGAGGAGAUACUGAAGAUGAACACUUUUUCCAGUUGGUGGGGUGCAAACGGUUUGCACAUCCAUCAGCCCACUGUUCUUUUCCCAGGUAG